CCCUAGUAACUGCGAGUGAAGCGGGAAAAGCUCAAAUUUGAAAUCUGGCAGUCUUUGGCUGUCCGAGUUGUAAUCUAGAGAAGUGUUACCCGUGCUGGACCGUGUACAAGUCUCCUGGAAUGGAGCGUCAUAGAGGGUGAGAAUCCCGUCUCUGACACGGACUACCAGGGCUUUGUGGUAUGCUCUCAAAGAGUCGAGUUGUUUGGGAAUGCAGCUCAAAAUGGGUGGUAAAUUCCAUCUAAAGCUAAAUAUUGGCGAGAGACCGAUAGCGAACAAGUACCGUGAGGGAAAGAUGAAAAGAACUUUGGAAAGAGAGUUAAACAGUACGUGAAAUUGCUGAAAGGGAAACGCUUGAAGUCAGUCACAUUGACUAGGGAUCAGCCUUGCAUUGCAUGGUGUACUUUCUGGUCGAUGGGUCAGCAUCAAUUUUGACUGCUGGAAAAAGGCUUGGGGAAUGUGACAGCUCUGGCUGUGUUAUAGACCCUUGUCAUAUACAGCGGUUGGGAUUGAGGAACUCAGCACGCCGCAAGGCCGGGUUUCGACCACGUUCGUGCUUAGGAUGCUGGCAUAAUGGCUUUAAGCGACCCGUCUUGAAACACGGACCAAGGAGUCUAACAUGCCUGCGAGUGUUUGGGUGGAAAACCCAAGCGCGUAAUGAAAGUGAAAGUUGAGAUCCCUGUCGUGGGGAGCAUCGACGCCCGGACCAGAACUUUUGGGACGGAUCUGCGGUAGAGCAUGUAUGUUGGGACCCGAAAGAUGGUGAACUAUGCCUGAAUAGGGUGAAGCCAGAGGAAACUCUGGUGGAGGCUCGUAGCGAUUCUGACGUGCAAAUCGAUCGUCAAAUUUGGGUAUAGGGGCGAAAGA
rnacentral:rRNA from 1 species